CGCAGGUGCCAUAUCGCCACCAUACACCAUGAAGCACAUGCUUUGGCCCGCAGUCCUGGUGGGGCUAGUGCUGGUGGUCGUAUGUUUAGUAGACGUGACCUCUGGCGCAUCCUUGAACUGUGCACCCUGCACCAACACAACGUGCGUUCCGCCGCCGCCGGCCUGUGAGGUGGGCCAGCGAAUCUGUUCCUGCUGUCUGGAGUGCCGGGUGGAUAAAGGCGGGGUGUGUGACGCCUAUGGCCCCGAGUGUCGGUCUGACCUGGUGUGCUUUACUCCGAUGGGGACGUUCCUGGGUCGCCCCCCUCUAAGCUCUGUUUCUGCGGUAGGAACUUGCAUUCGCUACGAAGAUGUUCCCACGUAGGAUGGCGCGGACUUCUUACUGAGGAAAAGCAGGACGACUUCUUGAUGCCAUUAUAAUUAUUGCAUCUUGCAGGAAUGAGAUCAUGAAAAUCAUCUAUGAUUCUUGGUGAGGUGAAUGUAAUAAUUUUAGCGAGCAUUUGCCUCUUCAUUGUGUAACUAAAGAUAUACAGACUGAACCAUUUUUUGCACUAUCUACAUCCAGUAUCUCAAACCUCAAGGAAGCAACUCAUUAAUUUUCUAGUAAAGAGACUCAAUAUUCAUUUAUCAGGUUCGCCCCUCACAGCCCCCAACCCUCUUGUUACCAUGGAUCUGAGCCAUAGCUUUUCCUUAGUGCACUUACAGUAAAUUUCAUUUUAAGUGUCCUCUGCAAAGUAAUAUACUUACUAUGCUUAUAAACACUUUUGGCUAAUUAAAAUGAAAGUACGAAUCUGUGGUAAUAUCUCAGUCCUGAUUUGUGCAUCUGCAAGCGAGGAAGAGGGAUGUUACUAUCAUCUAUCUCAUCACUUCCAAACAGAAAACACUGUAAUAAUGUCUCUACUUUUGUUUAAUGACAACCCUCAGGUCUAAAUAAUCAAAUAUAUUUUUCCAUAAGACCAUUAAUAACAUUUUAUGGCAACAAGGUGUAAACAAAAUGAAAAAUCCAGUCAUAUGGCUAAAUAAUAAAUGUCAUUUGUAUAAAUACAACUAUGACAACUAUGUUGCUUCUUUAACAAAACGAAAGAAAAAAAAAAUCAAGAGGCUCACAAUAGCAUAUUUUGUCACAUAACAACUCUCUAAUGGUUAAGAAAUUGAGCAAGCAAAAUAGCUUAAAAAAAUUUCUUGCAGUUGGAUGUGGCUACACCCAUAUUACAACUCUAAAUGAUCUCAAAAUUAGCAACAUACAAUUUGUGCUUAUCGUAUACAAUUUUGUGCUUUUUAUGAAAUUAGAAAAUACUUAUAA